GUAUUGUGUGAUGGAUCCCUGCUCGGGCAGCGACAUCAUCUCAUGCACGUCUCUUCAAUUUGUAGGCGCGAGCGCUCGCUUGCCCGAAGUUGGUUUUUCCUGUGCUGAAUACCCGUAUUGAAGGCACGAUGUCGGAUAAAUUGUCCCUUUCCCGCCUUGUGCUGCUGCUCCUUGCGGGCAAGCGGUGCGGGGUGGGCUAAAUAGCUCAUGCCGUGUGUCCCAUCCCGUUGUCCCCCUAAAGGGGGCCUUCGGGCUGACGAUCCAUGACGUGGAAGCUCGUUCUCUUGGGUCCGGAACUUAGUGUGGGGACGGGGCCAUUGGCCUCGGAGCACCACAAACAAAGCGUUCUACGCUUCGUGCGAACGACUGUCGGUUCGGCCUCUGGCUGGGCCCCGGUGGCUCGGUUCGGAAUCGUGCCGACGUCGGUGAGGAAUGCUACCU
rnacentral:misc_RNA from 1 species